rnacentral:rRNA from 1 species
ACGGGAGGCAGCAGUGGGGAAUAUUGGACAAUGGGGGAAACCCUGAUCCAGCGACGCCGCGUGAGUGAAGAAGUAUUUCGGUACGUAAAGCUCUAUCGGCAAGGAAGAAAAUGACGGUACUUGACUAAGAAGACCCGGCUAACUACGUGCCAGCAGCCGCAGUAAUACGUAGGGGGCAAGCGUUAUCCGGAUUUACUGGGUGUAAAGGGAGCGUAGACGAUAAGGCAAGUCUGAAGUGAAAUGCAUGGGCUCAACACAGGAACGGCUUUGGAAACUGUCAAACUAGAGUGCAGGAGAGGUAAGUGGAAUUCCUAGCGUAGCGGUGAAAUGCGUAGAUAUUGGGAGGAAAACCAGUGGCGAAGGCGGCUUACUGGACUGUAACUGACGUUGAGGCUCGAAAGCGUGGGGAGCAAACAGGAUUAGAUACCCUGGUA